CACAGACCGCAAUCAUGAUCAUUUUCAAGUAGAAUCUCAAACUGCCGUACAUCUUCGAAAACUUCGUUAGUCGUAAGGGAUCAAAGGAUGAUGUCCGUGCUGCGGAAAAUAGAUGAGAAGCGGCUAUUUCAACAACCACCGUGUGUAUUCUGUGCGGCUAAAGCAGUCACCUAAUGAAUUAUUGAGUACCAGGAAUGUUAGCGGUAAACAGGAUUGCGGCUAUGAAUGAUUCUCUAAUGUCUAUAUUAGAGAUGAAUUUGAUAAUUUAUCCUCAUAAUAUGCAAUCCGCUUUUAAGUGGAAAUCAUAAUUAACAAUUUCUGUUUGAUUAAAUAUGAAGAGCAGAUAAAUCGAUACGCUUAAAUCAA